rnacentral:rRNA from 1 species
UACGUAGGGAGCAAGCGUUGUCCGGAAUCAUUGGGCGUAAAGCGCGCGUAGGUGGUCCCGUAAGUCCGCUGUGAAAGUCAAAGGCUCAACCUUUGAAAGCCGGUGGAUACUGUGGGACUAGAGUACGGAAGAGGCGAGUGGAAUUCCUGGUGUAGCGGUGGAAUGCGCAGAUAUCAGGAGGAACACCAAUAGCGAAGGCAGCUCGCUGGGACGUUACUGACACUGAGGCGCGAAAGCGUGGGGAGCAAACCGG